AUACGUAGGGUGCGAGCGUUGUCCGGAAUUACUGGGCGUAAAGAGCUCGUAGGUGGUUUGUCGCGUCGUCUGUGAAAUUCCGGGGCUUAACUCCGGGCGUGCAGGCGAUACGGGCAUAACUUGAGUACUGUAGGGGAGACUGGAAUUCCUGGUGUAGCGGUGAAAUGCGCAGAUAUCAGGAGGAACACCGGUGGCGAAGGCGGGUCUCUGGGCAGUAACUGACGCUGAGGAGCGAAAGCAUGGGUAGCGAACAGGAUUAGAAACCCUGGUAGUCCAUGCCGUAAACGGUGGGCGCUAGGUGUAGGGGUCUUCCACGACUUCUGUGCCGUAGCUAACGCAUUAAGCGCCCCGCCUGGGGAGUACGGCCGCAAGGCUAAAACUCAAAGGAAUUGACGGGG
rnacentral:rRNA from 1 species